UCGUAACAAGGUCUCCGUAGGUGAACCUGCGGAGGGAUCAUUACACAAAUAUGAAGGCGGGCUGGAACCUCUCGGGGUUACAGCCUUGCUGAAUUAUUCACCCUUGUCUUUUGCGUACUUCUUGUUUCCUUGGUGGGUUCGCCCACCACUAGGACAAACAUAAACCUUUUGUAAUUGCAAUCAGCGUCAGUAACAAAUUAAUAAUUACAACUUUCAACAACGGAUCUCUUGGUUCUGGCAUCGAUGAAGAACGCAGCGAAAUGCGAUAAGUAGUGUGAAUUGCAGAAUUCAGUGAAUCAUCGAAUCUUUGAACGCACAUUGCGCCCUUUGGUAUUCCAAAGGGCAUGCCUGUUCGAGCGUCAUUUGUACCCUCAAGCUUUGCUUGGUGUUGGGCGUCUUGUCUCUAGCUUUGCUGGAGACUCGCCUUAAAGUAAUUGGCAGCCGGCCUACUGGUUUCGGAGCGCAGCACAAGUCGCACUCUCUAUCACCAAAGGUCUAGCAUACAUUAAGCCUUUUUUUCAACUUUUGACCUCGGAUCAGGUAGGGAUACCCGCUGAACUUAAGCAUAUCAAUAAGCGGAG
rnacentral:rRNA from 1 species